GAUUAACGCUGGCGGCGUGCAUAACACAUGCAAGUCGAACGAUGAAACUUUUUUGAUUUCUUCGGAAUGAAAAAAAGUGGAUUAGUGGCGGACGGGUGAGUAACGCGUGAGUAACCUGCCUUAGAGAAGGGGAUAGCCUUUGGAAACGAAGAAUAAUACCCUAUGAAACCAUAACCUCGCAUGAGGCCUUGGUCAAAGAUUUAUCGCUCUAAGAUGGACUUGCGUCUGAUUAGUUAGUUGGUGGGGUAACGGCCCACCAAGACAGCGAUCAGUAGCCGGCUUGAGAGAGUGUACGGCCACAUUGGGACUGAGACACGGCCCAGACUCCUACGGGAGGCAGCAGUGGGGAAUUUUGCACAAUGGGGGGAACCCUGAUGCAGCGACGCCGCGUGAUUUAGAAGGCCUUCGGGUUGUAAAAAUCUUUUCUAUGGGAAGAAAAUGACAGUACCAUAGGAAUAAGGACCGGCUAAUUACGUGCCAGCAGCCGCGGUAAUACGUAAGGUCCGAGCGUUGUCCGGAAUCAUUGGGCGUAAAGGGUACGUAGGCGGGUAAGCAAGUUAGAAGUGAAAUCCUAUAGCUCAACUAUAGUAAGCUUUUAAAACUGCUCAUCUUGAGGUAUGGAAGGGAAAGUGGAAUUCCUAGUGUAGCGGUGAAAUGCGCAGAUAUUAGGAGGAAUACCGGUGGCGAAGGCGACUUUCUGGCCAUAACCUGACGCUGAGGUACGAAAGCGUGGGGUAGCAAACAGG
rnacentral:rRNA from 1 species